rnacentral:rRNA from 1 species
GACAGAGGUGCCGAGCGUUAGGCGGAAUCACUGGGCUUAAAGCGUGUGUAGGCGGGCGGGUAAGUACCUUGUGAAAUCCCACGGCUCAACCGUGGAACUGCUUGGUAUACUGCUUGUCUUGUGCAACCUAGGGGCGAGCGGAACAGAUGGUGGAGCGGUGAAAUGCGUAGAUAUCAUCUGGAACGCCAAUGGUGAAAACAGCUCGCUGGGGGUUUGCAGACGCUGAGACACGAAAGCCAGGGGAGCAAACGGG